AUUGAACGCUGGCGGCAGGCCUAGCACAUGCAAGUCGAGCGGAUGACGGGAGCUUGCUCCUUGAUUCAGCGGCGGACGGGUGAGUAAUACCUAGGAAUCUGCCUGAUAGUGGGGGACAACGUUUCGAAAGGAACGCUAAUACCGCAUACGUCCUACGGGAGAAAGCAGGGGACCUUCGGGCCUUGCGCUAUCAGAUGAGCCUAGGUCGGAUUAGCUAGUUGGUGAGGUAAUGGCUCACCAAGGCGACGAUCCGUAACUGGUCUGAGAGGAUGAUCAGUGACACUGGAACUGAGAGACGGUCCAGACUCCUACGGGAGGCAGCUGUGGGGAAUAUUGGACAAUGGGCGAAAGCCUGAUCCAGCCAUGCCGCGUGUGUGAAGAAGGUCUUCGGAUUGUAAAGCACUUUAAGUUGGGAGGAAGGGCAGUAAGCUAAUACCUUGCUGUUUUGACGUUACCGACAGAAUAAGCACCGGCUAACUCUGUGCCAGCCGCCGCAGUAAGAC
rnacentral:rRNA from 1 species